rnacentral:rRNA from 1 species
GACGAACGCUGGCGGCGUGCUUAACACAUGCAAGUCGAACGGAAAGGCCCUGCUUUUGUGGGGUGCUCGAGUGGCGAACGGGUGAGUAACACGUGAGUAACCUGCCCUUGACUUUGGGAUAACUUCAGGAAACUGGGGCUAAUACCGGAUAGGAGCUCCUGCUGCAUGGUGGGGGUUGGAAAGUUUCGGCGGUUGGGGAUGGACUCGCGGCUUAUCAGCUUGUUGGUGGGGUAGUGGCUUACCAAGGCUUUGACGGGUAGCCGGCCUGAGAGGGUGACCGGGCACAAUGGGACUGAGGGACGGCCCAGACGCCUACGGGAGGCAGCAGUGGGGAGUAUUGCACAGUGGGCGGAAGCCUGAGACGGCAACGCCGCGUGCGGAAUGACGGCCUUCGGGUUGUGAACCGCUUUCGCCUGUGACGAAGCGUGAGUGACGGUAAUGGGUAAAGAAGCACCGGCUAACUACGUG